GCACGUGGCCACAGAUGACUUGCAGAGGGCUCCUCUGUGGGAUAUCCAAACACUCCAAGGCUCUCGCUGCGGACUUGCACUUGCUCUUGGAAUUCCAGCAGCUGUCUUCAAGAGGACUUCUUGUGACCGUUCACUCAAAGCGCACUCAACAGCCCCGGCCAACUGGUGUCACACCAACAACAGACAAGCAAAUGAAGUGAAAACAUCUUAUGUUGCCAUGGUCCAUGGAGUUUAACUGAGUUGCUGGGUUGUUUAUGGAGUUUGGCAAGGACAGGGAAAGCUAGCUGAUUAGCAUCCAGGGGAUAGCCGGUCGCUGCCCGUCAGGGUCCCACCGCACCUGACGGGCAGCCAGGCAGACUCCAGACGAUGCCGAGAUACAGACAGCUCAGAGAUAUGGACAACCAGGGCGAUGGGUCGAGCAAGGGUCACAAAUUACCGUACCGCAUGCUGUAAGCCUACAAUUUGGGGUUUUAUGUGCAGGCAGUACGCUGCCUAGAUUAUAAGACACUUUGGGCAAGAGCGCUGGAAUUCUUCACCAGUCAAUGUAAUGGAAACAUGAGCUCAUCAAUCUAGACCCUAGAGCAAUGUCACUUUUUGAUUUAGCGGUCAAAUUAUAGUGGUUGUCAUUCCCGUCCAAUGUCGAUGGCAUUCCUUAACUGGUCCAAUACCACAGUAGAAAAUACUAGGAGAACAAUAUGGCCUUUUCCUUUGAAUAAAUCCAUGUGUAAAUCAAUGUAAAUCAUGGUAUUAUAUCUUAUAACAUUGAUAUUAGCAUUUUUGUAAUAGGCCUAAGUAAUUCAGCAUGCAGAAGGAACAGUGUUUGUGUCCUGUUUUGUAUAGUUUGUGUUGUGCAGGCUGUUCUGUGACUGUGACUUCUAUUCUGUUAUGUGACUGACUGACUGACUGAUGGCAUUAGCUGGUUGACGGUUAGGUCAGCAGGAAGGAAACCUGACAGAAAUAGCUAUACUCGACACACAACCCACUUUAAGCGCUAAUAACACAUCACAUAUUCUGGCGUGUACAUUAAUAAACAUUUGUGACAAAGGACACUGGAACAGGAAAUGAUACUGGUCACUACAUCCUGCCAAAAUAGUGAGUGAGGGGGACCGAUUAAAAUAAAACAACUGACUUUUGUGAGCCACUUUUGUCACGUCUGAUGGGUUUGUGGUUAUGACCUAUUUUAAGAGAUCUUAAAAAAAUGUUCAUGACCUUCAGUAGGCCUACUCUAAAACACAGAGUUAUUACUCAGAGAAUAAACUCUGUACAAGAAUAUGAGUUAUACUUUUUGUGAUACUUUUGCGCACUUUUGCAUUCUUUUCACAUACAGAAGUGUUUGGCAUCAAGCGUUUUUUUAGAAGGUAUCUACCUUAUUUAUAUCUCUGAGUUCCUCAGCAAUCUCCCUUUGCAAACUCGUCAUUCAGAUUUCAGUGCUCUGUAUUUCUUGUAUGCAGAGAAAAUGAAUGGUGUUCAAAUGAACUGUUUAGCGCAACUAAUCACUCAACUGCCAAAAUGAACCCAGAGUGUUUAUCAGUGUUUAUUUCUGUGUGUGUUUGUGUGUGUGUGUGUGUGUGUGUGUGUGUGUGUGUGUGUGUGUGUGUGUGUGUUUGCAUGCAUACAUGUUUGUGUGUUUGUGGCGAUGGAAUCACAACAGCAUGUACAAAAAGAUAGAAUCUUCCAAAACUCACAGCAUGCUUCUGUGCUGAAUGUUGGCUGACACUGGUGUCAGACUAACAAUCAUGUCGUUAUCAUCAGCUUUAUGGUAUUUCUGUUCAAACACAAAUGGCUCCAUGCAACUCAACUUUUUUUUUUUUCAUCUUUUUACUGUGAAAGAUGCUUCGCAAGUAGGUCAGAUGAGUUUGGGGUAAGAGACUAGAUUCUGCUAAUCUCAUCAAGACUCCAUCUCUGCAGUCCCCUCUGUGCUUCAUUUGUGCAUACCAAAAUAGCUUUCCACCAUGACAGACAGCCAACAAUUACAUAACCUAAUACAAGCCAUAACCAUACAGGCUUUUAAUGUUAUGGAGUGAUGUGACAAAUUUGUAAUAAUAAAACAUUACUGGCAACA